UUCGGACUGGAGUCUGCAACCCGAACUCCACGAAGCUGGAUUCGCUAGUAAUCGCGCAUCAGCCACGGCGCGGUGAAUACGUUCCCGGGCCUUGUACACACCGCCCGUCAAGCCAUGGGGAGCCGGGGGUACCUGAAGUGCGUAACCGCGAGGAUCGCCCUAGGGUAACACUGGUGACUGGGGUGAAGUCGUAACAAGGUAAC
rnacentral:rRNA from 1 species